UUUUAAAGAAACUAGAGUCCUAAUUUCACUAAGGUUCUAAACUUUUCUUCUCUCACCUCACAACUCAAAACUGAUGAAAUAAAUCCUCAUUCUCUACUCAUCGAUCUCACGUUCUCUCUCCUCGCAAAACUUCAGCAACAAUGGUAGAUCUUCAUUCAUCAUUCUUCAUCUCUCUUCCUCUCUCCUCCUCAUAAUUUAGUUUUCUCUAAUUUGACUCUAAUAUUAGAGUAGUUCGUGAAUAGCUACAUUGAAUCGCAAUCUCUAUUGAUCCAACCACUGCUUCCUCUCCCUCCUCCGCCCCACCGCCAGUACCUUCCGCCACCUAUCACCGCCUAUUAGUUGCUUACACGAUCAAUUUCACCGCUUACAUUAACGUGGGUAAGUUUUUUUGCUUUGGGUUUUAAAAAUUAGGGUUUUGGGAUGAGUUCUUAUGUUAGGUUUUCAAAUUAUCACAGAUUGGUUGUUAUUAAUUGCUUGUUGAGUAGGGAUUUAUUGAAUGUUGUUAAUUUCUUUGAUUGUUUCGAUUUUCUUUAAGCAGUGAAGUUAUGUUAUUGAGUUGCACACUAAGUGCUUGAUAAAAUGCCAAAAUGAAUAAUUUUUGAUAUUUUUGGGUAUCCUUUGGUCCUUACUCUCUGCCUUCCCCCUAAUACCUCUUGUCUCUCACUGUACAUAUCUUUCCCAUGGAUGAAAAUUAGGGUUUGUUUGAGUUUUCAACUCUAUGGUUCUGAAUUAAGAAAGAUAAGAGGAAAUGGUUUGCAGCACAUAAACGAGUUGCCUAAUUUCUUAACAUGCUACAAGGUUUCAGGAAAUACAAACGCUUAGGGUUGAAGUGAUUGUCAGAAGGAAGGUGUUUGCUUCAGAAUUGUUGAAUUUGCAUAAAGUCGGUACACACCAUGUAUGGAAAACUCGGGUGAUCAUGAUGAAUCUCUGUCUACAGCUCCUGGGUGCUCGUGCCCGUGUUGGUCUUACUGUAUAUUAGUCGUGACAGGUGUUGAUCACUACCAGGAUACCAAGGGAAAAUGUGCUCCUUUCUACCAUCAAAGUAUGAGAAGGUGUUCGAACCCGCGUUGGUCACUGUGAGUAGUCGUGAGUUCUGAGUCCUUCUGUGAUACCGAAGGACAAGAUGCUAGUAUUAACAACGUUUAAAGACACAUGCUUGUGCCUGCAUUGUGAAUAGUUGUUAUUGUCAAUUUGUUUAAUAUUGUCACAAUUAUGUAUACUUUUGACCCUUAUUUUAUUUUGUUUUUUUUAAAUGUUUGGAGAUAAUUGAUGUAAAGUGUAAUAUUUAUUUUAGUAAUUGUAAGAACUAUUUUGGAAUUACCAAAUUGGUAAAAUGCUGAUUUUUAGGCCGA